rnacentral:rRNA from 1 species
UACGUAGGGAGCGAGCGUUGUCCGGAUUCAUUGGGCGUAAAGAGCUCGUAGGCGGCUUGGUAAGUCGGAUGUGAAACCUCCAGGCUCAACCUGGAGUCGCCAUCCGAUACUGCUAUGGCUAGAGUCCGGUAGGGGCCCACGGAAUUCCUGGUGUAGCGGUGAAAUGCGCAGAGUAUCAGGAGGAACACCGGUGGCGAAGGCGGGUCUCUGGACAUUUCCUGACGCUGAGGCACGAAAGCCAGGGGAGCAAACGGG